rnacentral:tRNA from 1 species
GCUAGUGUGGCUCAAUGGUAGAGCAGCUGAAUCGUAAUCAGCCGGUUGGGGGUUCGAUUCCCUUCACUAGCUCCA